CCAUAAUGAGCCAUCUAAGAUUUAGAAACUAUAUAACUGGAGAUUAAACUUUUUUUGUACUCUAUCAUGAACUAUUGCAAUAGGUUGAUAAUUUUUUUCAGUCCAGAAAGUGUCUGAAAAAGCUCUGACAUUGACUUAUGUGUUUAAAUGAACUUAUUUAAUUGUUACCUAGACAUUAUGAUUAUUAACCAGCAUCACGUCAGAAUACAACUCCUGCUUGUAUUUCAGCUUCUGUUUAUUGAUUAGUUCUCAUGUAAUUUUCUACCUUAAAUAUAAUGUAUUUUCAUUAAUUCUGUUGUUUUAAUAUAAUUGUGUUUGUUCAUUUACAGCUUGACUGCAUUUAGGAAAUCUCUCAGACGCAUGGUUUUCAACCCUGGUGUGUCAUCAAGGAUAAACAAACCAAAACAUUGAGAUGAGGCGUGAAGCUGUUAUCCGGAGCCUCAUACUGUACCUUGGCGAGAAAGAAGAGGAACUGUUUGAAGAUUGCCAGGAGGACAACCACAGUGACACAGCGCAACACACCCCUCAAGAUUCUGGUUGUACAUGGAGCUGAUGGAAAG